rnacentral:SRP_RNA from 2 species
GCCAGGCAUGGUGGUGCACGCCUGUAAUUCCAGCUACUCAGGAGGCUGAGGCAGGAGAAUCGCUUGAGCCCAGGAGGCAGAGGUUGCAAUGAGUCAAGAUGGUGUCACUGCAUUCUAGCCUGGGCAACAGAGUGAGACUCUGUCUCAA